GAGGCGCAGCUACCAUGCAGUCGAGGGGUAUAAGUCUUCGGAUUUAGAGACCGGCGCACGGGUGCGUAACGCGUAUGCAAUCUACCUUUUACAGAGGGAUAGCCCAGAGAAAUUUGGAUUAAUACCUCAUAGUAUGCAGAGUUGGCAUCAGCACUGCAUUAAAGUCACAACGGUAAAAGAUGAGCAUGCGUCCCAUUAGCUAGUUGGUAAGGUAACGGCUUACCAAGGCUACGAUGGGUAGGGGUCCUGAGAGGGAGAUCCCCCACACUGGUACUGAGACACGGACCAGACUCCUACGGGAGGCAGCAGUGAGGAAUAUUGGACAAUGGGCGCAAGCCUGAUCCAGCCAUGCCGCGUGCAGGAUGACGGUCCUAUGGAUUGUAAACUGCUUUUGCACAGGAAGAAACAUCCCGACGUGUCGGGACUUGACGGUACUGUGAGAAUAAGGAUCGGCUAACUCCGUGCCAGCAGCCGCGGUAAUACGGAGGAUCCAAGCGUUAUCCGGAAUCAUUGGGUUUAAAGGGUCCGUAGGCGGUUUAGUAAGUCAGUGGUGAAAGCCCAUCGCUCAACGGUGGAACGGCCAUUGAUACUGCUAGACUUGAAUUAUUAGGAAGUAACUAGAAUAUGUAGUGUAGCGGUGAAAUGCUUAGAGAUUACAUGGAAUACCAAUUGCGAAGGCAGGUUACUACUAAUUGAUUGACGCUGAUGGACGAAAGCGUGGGUAGCGAACAGGAUUAGAUACCCUGGUAGUCCACGCCGUAAACGAUGGAUACUAGCUGUUGGGAGCGAUCUCAGUGGCUAAGCGAAAGUGAUAAGUAUCCCACCUGGGGAGUACGUUCGCAAGAAUGAACUCAG
rnacentral:rRNA from 1 species